rnacentral:rRNA from 1 species
CAAUCGAACCCGGAGAUAGCUGGUUCUCCCCGAAAUAGCUUUAGGGCUAGCGUCGGAAAGAACCUUAGUGAAGGUAGAGCACUGAAUGUGUGAUGGCCCCAUCCCGGGGUACUGAAUACAAUCAAACUGCGAAUGUCAUUAAGGAUGUCCGGCAGUCAGACUGUGAGUGAUAAGGUCCAUGGUCAAGAGGGAAACAGCCCAGACCGCCAGUUAAGGUCCCAAAAUACAGGCUAAGUGGAAAAGGAUGUGGGGAUGCCCAGACAACUAGGAGGUUGGCUCAGAAGCAGCCAUCCUUUAAAGAGUGCGUAACAGCUCACUAGUCGAGUGACCCUGCGCCGAAAAUGUACCGGGGCUAAGCCUGAUACCGAAACUGCGGAUUGUAGGAAACUAUAGUGGUAGGGGAGCGUUGUAUACGAGUAGAAGCCGUACCGUGAGGAGCGGUGGAUUGUAUAGAAGUGAGAAUGCCGGUGUGAGUAGCGAGAUGUAGGUGAGAAUCCUACACACCGAAAGCCCAAGGAUUCCAGGGGAAGGUUCGUCCGCCCUGGGUAAGUCGGGACCUAACGCGAGGCCGAAAGGCGUAGUGGAUGGAAAGCAGGCGAAAGAUUCCUGCACCCGUAUAUGGAGCGAAGGAGUGACGGAGACGGAUAGUGUGACCCUCUUAAUGGAUUGAGGGCGAAGCGAAGCGGCUGGUUACCAGGCAAAUCCGGUAACUGAAAGGCUAGAGCGUGACAGGUAAGCGAAAUCUUCGGAAAGUAGCGAAGCACAUGAUGACGGCUUCCAGGAAAAGCUUCUGGCAAUGCAUAUGCGGCCCGUACCAAAACCGACACAGGUGGGCAGGGAGAGAAUCCCGAGGUGAGCGAGAGAACUGUUGCCAAGGAACUCGGCAAAAUGACUCCGUAAGUUAGCGAGAAGGAGUGCUUAAGCAAUUAAGCCGCAGUGAAGAGGCCCAAGCGACUGUUUAACUAAAACACAGCUCUCUGCGAAGUCGCAAGACGAAGUAUAGGGGGUGACACCUGCCCGGUGCUGGAAGGUUAAGAGGAUCUGUUAAGAGCGAUCUGAAGCAGUGAUCCGAAGCCCCAGUGAACGGCGGCCGUAACUAUAACGGUCCUAAGGUAGCGAAAUUCCUUGUCAGGUAAGUUCUGACCCGCACGAAAGGUGUAACGAUUUGGGCGCUGUCUCGGCAGCAGACUCGGUGAAAUCUUAGUACCUGUGAAAAUGCAGGUUACCCGCAACUAGACGGAAAGACCCCAUGGAGCUUUACUGCAGCCUGAUAUUGAAUUCUGGUCAUACAUGUACAGGAUAGGUGGGAGACAAAGAGACGUGCACGCCAGUGUACGAGGAGUCGACGUUGGGAUACCACUCUUGUGUGACCGGGGUUCUAACCUGGUAUCGAAAACAGGUACGGGGAGAGUGUCAGGUGGGCAGUUUGACUGGGGCGGUCGCCUCCCAAAGAGUAACGGAGGCGCCCAAAGGUACGCUCAGAUUGGAUGGAAACCAAUCGCCGAGUGCAAUUGCAGAAGCGUGCUUGACUGUGAGACUUACAAGUCGAACAGGGACGAAAGUCGGGAAUAGUGAUCCGGCGGUGCCGAAUGGAAGGGCCGUCGCUCAACGGAUAAAAGCUACCCUGGGGAUAACAGGCU